rnacentral:lncRNA from 1 species
UUAAAAUCCUAGUAUACAAUAGUGUGGUGUUUUGCAUGAAGAGAGACAUACCAACCAAAAUGCACGCCACCCACCUAGUACAUUAGUCAUUCUCUUUCAUUAAAAAAGAGAAACAAAAAAGUAGAAAAAAAGUAAUUAUCCUCACCAUGAGAAACCAGGUUCAUGCAUAAAAUGACAAAAAAUCUCCUCCACACAUGAGUAAAAAAACGUGAUGCUCUCUGCUACAAAAAUAUCACCUAAUUUCAUUUUCACUAACUGACAUCAUCCUCG